rnacentral:tRNA from 1 species
UGGACGACCGGGGUAUCGAUCCCCGUACCUCUCGCAUGCUAAGCGAGCGCUCUACCACUUGAGCUAGCCGCCC